UGGGGAAUAUUGCACAAUGGGCGCAAGCCUGAUGCAGCCAUGCCGCGUGUGUGAAGAAGGCCUUCGGGUUGUAAAGCACUUUCAGCGAGGAGGAAGGGGUUGAGUUUAAUACGCUCAAUCAUUGACGUUACUCGCAGAAGAAGCACCGGCUAACUCCGUGCCAGCAGCCGCGGUAAUACGGAGGGUGCAAGCGUUAUUCGGAAUUACUGGGCGUAAAGCGCACGCAGGCGGUUUGUUAAGUCAGAUGUGAAAUCCCCGCGCUUAACGUGGGAACUGCAUUUGAAACUGGCAAGCUAGAGUCUUGUAGAGGGGGGUAGAAUUCCAGGUGUAGCGGUGAAAUGCGUAGAGAUCUGGAGGAAUACCGGUGGCGAAGGCGGCCCCCUGGACAAAGACUGACGCUCAGGUGCGAAAGCGUGGGGAGCAAACA
rnacentral:rRNA from 1 species